GCCUGCAUGAAGUCGGAGUUGCUAGUAAUCGCAGAUCAGAAUGCUGCGGUGAAUGCGUUCCCGGGUCUUGUACACACCGCCCGUCACACCAUGAGAGUCGGGAACACCCGAAGUCCGUAGUCUAACCGCAAGGGGGGCGCGGCCGAAGGUGGGUCCGGUAAUUGGGGUGAAGUCGUAACAAGGUAUC
rnacentral:rRNA from 1 species